GUGCUUGCUUCGGCAGCACAUAUACUAAAAUUGGAAUGAUACAGAGAAGGUUAGCAUGGCCCCUGAGCAAAGAUGAUAUACAAAUUCAGGAACUGUUCCAUAUUUAU
rnacentral:snRNA from 1 species